UAAUACGUAGGGUGCAAGCGUUGUCCGGAAUUAUUGGGCGUAAAGAGCUCGUAGGCGGUCUGUCGCGUCGGAUGUGAAAACCCAGGGCUCAACCCUGGGCCUGCAUUCGAUACGGGCAGACUAGAGUUCGGUAGGGGAGACUGGAAUUCCUGGUGUAGCGGUGAAAUGCGCAGAUAUCAGGAGGAACACCGGUGG
rnacentral:rRNA from 1 species